CUAUCCAUCCAAUCCAGACAUCCAGUAGUAAAGCUGUGGACAAACUCUCUCUCUCUCUUCUCUCCUCUAUAUAUUUGUUAAGGAUAAAGUAGUGCUUAACUUAACCCUAAACAUUCCGAACAUUAAAUAUCUAUUUGCUCGCCCCCUUAGUCCGCUACAGAAAUGACAGUGCGAUUAGCAAUGGGAACACUCCCACCCACUCAUUCCUUCAAUCAUAACCCCACUUUCCCCAAAAUCCAUCUUUCUUUUCUACCCACAUAAUAUUUGCAAGCCAAUACUAGCUAUACACAUCCACUCCAUUUCUCUCAAAUACCAGACCAAACUAGCCCCAUCUUCAUCUUUCAGUUUUGUACACGAUUAAUUCUCUCUUGGAUUCUUCUUCCCUUUUCAUUUCUUUCUUUUUCUCAAUUAAUUUGUGCUCACAUAUAUAUAUAUAUAUGUAAAAAUACAAUUCUCGAUCGAUCUACUUUGAUUCGCAUCGAUACUCAAGAACAAGUUAGUUACCUACAAUCCAAUAUGUCACUGGAAAUCUCCUCCGAACGUGUUUGUUACGUCCACUGCAACUUCUGCAACACAAUUCUAGCGGUAUAUAUAUAUAUAUAUAUAUAUAUAUAUAGAUUUGAAACUUGAAAGAGUUUGAUAUAGUUCUCAAAAAGAAAGAGUCUAAUACAAAUUAGUGAAAGCACACUAUUUUAUGUGUGUGAAUUAACUUAGGGUUUACUAGUCCCCUAAAUCAUAUAUUUCCAUCAUGAAAGAGUGGUGGGAUCCCCUUUGAGUAUUUUCCUUUACAUUUCAUGAUAUAUAUAAUAAAAGACGAAUUUAAAACAUACCUCUUAAAUAACAUACAUAUCUUAAAUAAUAUAUCUUUAUUAAAAUUACGUUAUUUUGAAGUUUUUUUUAAAAAAAUAAAAUAAUAUUAAAAGAUAGUGGUCCUACUUGCAAUCAUUUUUGUUGGAAUUUAAUUUGAAGGUGAGAUCAUCCUAAUUUAUGAUAUGUUAAUGAUAAGGUUAGGGGUGAGCAUAGUGCGGUUUGAAGUCCAAAUCGCACCCGAAACUGCUUAGGUGCGAUUUGAAAACUUCAAAAUCGCACACGAAACCGCUUAUAAUUAGUGUGGUGCGGUUUUAAAGUGUGCGGUGCGAUUUUAAUUGGCGGUUUCGGUUCCAAAACCAAUUGAAACAACAAAAAAAUCUAAGCCUUCAAUAAAAUUUAACAUAGAACUUACAUCGAGCUAUUAACUUAGUGACAGAGUCGACAAUGAGAAUUAUAUCAAGCAUAGAACCAAAGUUUCUUAUGCCAAACAUGUCAAAUUCACCAUCAAAUCAUAGAACAGUGAGACACAUAAAAUAUUUUUAAUUUAUAAUAAAGGAAUGAUGCUUUAAAACUAAAACAUACGCUAUAUAAAACAAUAGAGACCAUAUAUUCGAUAACAAGCAAGAAGGUUUAUCUAGUUCCCCAAAAAUUAAAAGUAUAUACUUGGAGAUAUAUAGAAUAAAAUUCUAUCUCAUAUAUUGCAGGGAGGACUUAUAGAAUAUAAUCCUAACUAUACCUAAUUUGAAAAAUAAUCUAUUAGACUAUUACUAUUAUAGCAUUGACCUUAACCAAUGCAUCAAGUGCUCAAACCAACGAAUUUGGCCUCUUAGCUAUAAGCCCCUCCAAUAACGUAUCAAACAAAUUCGAAAUUCCAAAACCCAAUUACUUAAUUUUUGACUCUAUAACCUCUAACCAUCUUUUUUCAAUUGGUGAAAAAAUGACAAUGCAAGACUGGGUUUUCUUUGAGAAUGUUCAAGUGAAAAGUAACUUUAGAAUUUACUAGAGAUAAUACACAUAUACACACAUGGUGCGAUUUUGGUUUUAUGCGUGCGAUUUUGGCUAGUAACCAAACCGGAACCGUAAAUUUGGUUAUUUAACCUACCUAAAACCGUCACAUACACCGGAAUCGUUGGUGCGAUUUUAAUUAGUGCGAUUCGUGUGAUUUUUAGUGCAGUUUCGAUUCUAAUUUAAUUACUUGCUCAGUCUUAGAUAAUGCGACGAAAUUUACAUUUCAUGAUUUUACUGAUUCCCCAUUUCAAAGGUGUUGCCCAAAGCGCGCAGUCCAGCUGAUCUUGCCAUGCACCCUCUUGCAUGUAUUAAUUUUUUUGAUAUAUCUAACAAAUAUUUAUUGUAGACCAAGAUCCCCCAUUGGCACUACAAAAAAAAAGAAGUUAGGAUACUGCUGUGUCCCAUCACACUUUCAACUAAUUUUUUUCACCGAGACAAUUAUUUACGACAAAUACUGCUGUGUCGCUAAAUAUAAUAUUUUUAUUAUUAAAUAUAUAUGACAUGAGUUAAAAAUAUAAUGUAGGGAAUCCUUAUCCAACUAUGCUACUAUAUGUUAUCUUUAAUUUGUUAGUAAAAAUAAAAUAAAAUUAACCAUGCACGAGGUGAUCAGGGUGGAUUAUAAAUGAAUUGAAUUCACAUGAUCAGUACUAUACAAUGACAUAAAAAGAUGGUGACAAUACAUACACAAAUGAUCUAUCCCAUCCAAUCCAGACAUCCAGUAGUAAAGCUGUGGACAAACUCUCUCUCUCCUCUAUAUAUUGUUAAGGAUAAAGUAGUGCUUAACUUAACCCUAAACAUUCCGAACAUUAAAUAUCUCUUUGCUCGCCCCCUUAGUCCGCUACAGAAAUGACAGUGCGAUUAGCAAUGGGAACACUCCCACCCACUCAUUCCUUCAAUCAUAACCCCACUUUCCCCAAAAUCCAUCUUUCUUUUCUACCCACAUAAUGUUUACAAGCCAAUACUAGCUAUACACAUCCACUCCACUCCAUUUCUCUCAAAUACCAGACCAAACUAGCCCCAUCUUCAUCUUUCAGUUUUGUACACGAUUAAUUCUCUCUUGGAUUCUUCUUCCUUUUUCAUUUCUUUCUUUUUCUCAAUUAAUUUGUGCUCAUAUAUAUAUAUGUAAAAAUACAAUUCUCGAUCGAUCUACUUUGAUUCGCAUCGAUACUCAAGAACAAGUUAGUUACCUACAAUCCAAUAUGUCACUGGAAAUCUCCUCCGAACGUGUUUGUUACGUCCACUGCAACUUCUGCAACACAAUUCUAGCGGU
rnacentral:lncRNA from 1 species